rnacentral:rRNA from 1 species
UGGGGAAUUGUUCGCAAUGGGCGAAAGCCUGACGACGCAAUGCCGCGUGGAGGAUGAAGAAUUUCGGUUCGUAAACUCCUUUCGACCGAGAUGAAUGUCCGCCGACCUAACACGUCGGCGGAGUGACAGUAUCGAGGGAAGAAGCCCCGGCUAACUCCGUGCCAGCAGCCGCGGUAAUACGUAGGGUGCGAGCGUUAAUCGGAAUUACUGGGCGUAAAGGGUGCGCAGGCGGCCCCGCAUGUCAGGCGUGAAAUCCCCGAGCUCAACUUGGGAAUGGCGCUUGAAACUACGGGGCUGGAGUGUGGCAGAGGGAGGUGGAAUUCCACGUGUAGCGGUGAAAUGCGUAGAGAUGUGGAGGAACACCGAUGGCGAAGGCAGCCUCCUGGGCCAACACUGACGCUCAUGCACGAAAGCGUGGGGAGCAAACAGGAUUAGAUACCCACGUAGUCCCUGAGCGGGCUGGCAAGGCGCAU